rnacentral:rRNA from 1 species
UAAGGAAUAUUGGUCACUGGACGCAAGUCUGAACCAGCCAUGCCGCGUGAAGGAUGAAGGUCCUCUGGAUUGUAAACUUCUUUUAUCUGGGACGAAAACGGGAUUUUUAUCUCAAUUGACGGUACCAGAGGAAUAAGCACCGGCUAACUCCGUGCCAGCAGCCGCGGUAAUACGGAGGGUGCGAGCGUUAUCCGGAUUUACUGGGUUUAAAGGGUGCGUAGGUGGGCUUAUAAGUCAGUGGUGAAAUCUCCGAGCUUAACUUGGAAACUGCCGUUGAUACUAUAGGUCUUGAAUUAUCUGGAGGUAAGCGGAAUAUGUCAUGUAGCGGUGAAAUGCUUAGAUAUGACAUAGAACACCAAUUGCGAAGGCAGCUUACUACAUAUAAAUUGACGCUGAGGCACGAAAGCGUGGGGAUCAAACA